GCCUGGGUGGCUCAGUUGGUUAAGUGUCCGACUUCGGCACGGGUCGGAUCUCACAGUCCGUGGGUUCGAGCCCCACGUCAGGCU
rnacentral:tRNA from 1 species